AUGAGCUGCUCAGCCAACAGUCCCCCUAAAGUGAGCGUCCUGCCGCCGUCCAGUGAAGAGAUUUCCACAAAGCAAACAGCAACACUGAUGUGUGUGGCCAACAAGGGCUUCCCCUCAGACUGGAGUCUGAACUGGAAGGUGGACGGGAUCAGCAGCAGGUCUCAGUACAGCAGUGUUGCUCUCCUGGAGAAGGACGGUCUGUACAGCUGGAGCAGCAGUCUGACUCUCUCUGAGCAGGAGUGGAGCUCAGUGAUCUCAGUCAGCUGUGAGCUCACACAGAAAGACCAGCGUGAUAAAGUCACUGGAGAAUUGAGGAGAGAUCAGUGUUCACAGUAGAUCCACUCACUCUCUCCUCUGUCUCACAUCAAGACUAACAGACUAACUGUGUUUCUCUCUCUCAUCUCACAUCUCUUUUCACAAACAACAC